GUUUAGAGAUAUUAGAAAGUCAUGCAAUGUAGGCUGUGAAAGGUAGCAAUCAUUUCAUGACGUUUACGUGAAUUGCACCUGUCCCGGCCUGCACUGGAUGUCGAUUACAACGGAGACCCGGA
rnacentral:pre_miRNA from 10 species